rnacentral:rRNA from 1 species
CCUACGGUGUGCAGCAGUGGGGAAUAUUGGACAAUGGGCGAAAGCCUGAUCCAGCCAUGCCGCGUGUGUGAAGAAGGCCUUCGGGUUGUAAAGCACUUUCAGUGGGGAAGAAAGCCUUGGGGCUAAUACCCUCGAGGAAGGACAUCACCCACAGAAGAAGCACCGGCUAACUCCGUGCCAGCAGCCGCGGUAAUACGGAGGGUGCGAGCGUUAAUCGGAAUUACUGGGCGUAAAGCGCGCGUAGGCGGUCUGAUAAGCCGGUUGUGAAAGCCCCGGGCUCAACCUGGGAACGGCAUCCGGAACUGUCAGGCUAGAGUGCAGGAGAGGAAGGUAGAAUUCCCGGUGUAGCGGUGAAAUGCGUAGAGAUCGGGAGGAAUACCAGUGGCGAAGGCGGCCUUCUGGACUGACACUGACGCUGGGGUGCGAAAGCGUGGGUAGCAAACAGGAUUAGAUACCCCGGUAGUC